UACAGAGGUCCCAAGCGUUGUUCGGAUUCAUUGGGCGUAAAGGGUGCGUAGGUGGCAUGGGUAGUCGGGUGUGAAAUCCCGGGGCUCAACCCCGGAACUGCACUCGAUACUGCCGUGCUGGAGUACUGGAGAGGAGACUGGAAUUUACGGUGUAGCAGUGAAAUGCGUAGAUAUCGUAAGGAAGACCGGUGGCGAAAGCUAAUCUCUGGACAGUCACUGACACUGAGGCACGAAGGCUAGGGGAGCAAACGGG
rnacentral:rRNA from 1 species